GAUGAACGCUGGCGGCGUGCUUAACACAUGCAAGUCGAACGGUGAAGCCAAGCUUGCUUGGUGGAUCAGUGGCGAACGGGUGAGUAACACGUGAGCAACCUGCCCUGGACUCUGGGAUAAGCGCUGGAAACGGCGUCUAAUACUGGAUAUGAGCUCUCAUCGCAUGGUGGGGGUUGGAAAGAUUUUUCGGUCUGGGAUGGGCUCGCGGCCUAUCAGCUUGUUGGUGGGGUAAUGGCUCACCAAGGCGUCGACGGGUAGCCGGCCUGAGAGGGUGACCGGCCACACGGGGACUGAGACACGGCCCAGACUCCUACGGGAGGCAGCAGUGGGGAAUAUUGCACAAUGGGCGGAAGCCUGAUGCAGCAACGCCGCGUGAGGGAUGACGGCCUUCGGGUUGUAAACCUCUUUUAGCAGGGAAGAAGCGAGAGUGACGGUACCUGCAGAAAAAGCGCCGGCUAACUACGUGCCAGCCGCCGCCGUAAUAC
rnacentral:rRNA from 1 species